CCUACGGGUGGCAGCAGUGGGGAAUAUUCGGCAAUGAGCGCAAGCCUGACCCAGCAACGCCGCGUGAAGGAAGAAGGCUUUCGGGUUGUAAACUGCUUUUCUGAGGGACGAAGAAAGUGACGGUACCUCAGGAAUAAGCCACGGCUAACUACGUGCCAGCAGCCGCGGUAAUACGUAGGUGGCAAGCGUUAUCCGGAUUUAUUGGGGGUAAAGGGCGUGUAGGCGGGAAAGCAAGUCAGAUGUGAAAACUCAGGGCUCAAACCUGAGCCUGCAUUUGAAACUGGUUUUCUUGAGUGCUGGAGAGGCAAUCGGAAUUCCGUGUGUAGCGGUGAAAUGCGUAGAUAUACGGAGGAACACCAGAGGCGAAGGCAGAUUGCUGGAUAGUAACUGACGCUGAGGCGCGAAAGCGUGGGGAGCAAACAGGAUUAGAUACCCUAGUAGUC
rnacentral:rRNA from 1 species